GGCAGGAGGCCACGCAACAAGGCGGGGCGGGAGCUAAAAUACAGAGCAACAGCCCAAGACCUGAGGUGUACGAGAUGGAGUGCUGCUUGUCUGUUUAGACUGCGCUCACUGACUUGAGGAAUAUGUGGCGUCCAUGUUUAUAAAAAUGCCUGAAAGUCUCACCAGCAGCAGGAGGAAAGAACAAUGCAAACGUCAAUGGGACGCCACAACGAGCCAUGCACCCCAAAGCAGAGAGGAAAAGAAACAGGGAGGUGAGGAUGCCAAACAAACAGACUUUCGCUAGCGCGGUUGCAACGCAGAAGA